rnacentral:rRNA from 1 species
AUGGGAACGCGAAGAACCUUACCUAGACUUGACAUCUCCUGAAUAGUGUAGAGAUACAUGAAGCCCUUCGGGGCAGGAAGACAGGUGGUGCAUGGUUGUCGUCAGCUCGUGUCGUGAGAUGUUGGGUUAAGUCCCGCAACGAGCGCAACCCUUAUUACUAGUUGCUACCAUUAAGUUGAGCACUCUAGUGAGACUGCCCGGGUUAACCGGGAGGAAGGCGGGGAUGACGUCAAAUCAUCAUGCCCCUUAUGUCUAGGGCAACACACGUGCUACAAUGGUGAGUACAGAUAGAUGCGAUACCGCAAGGUGGAGCCAAACUCUAAAACUCAUCCCAGUUCGGAUUGUAGGCUGCAACUCGCCUACAUGAAGUUGGAGUUGCUAGUAAUCGCGAAUCAGAAUGUCGCGGUGAAUACGUU